rnacentral:rRNA from 1 species
AAGUCGUAACAAGGUCUCCGUAGGUGAACCUGCGGAGGGAUCAUUACUGAGUGAGGGCCCCUGGCCCGACCUCCAACCCUUUGUGAUUAAUACUUGUUGCCUCGGGGGCGACUCGAUCCUGUCGGGGCCCCCGACGGACCACAACCAAACUCUGCAUCUUUGCGUCGGGUUUGAUAAAGAAAAUUGUUUAAAACUUUCAACAACGGAUCUCUUGGUUCUGGCAUCGAUGAAGAACGCAGCGAAAUGCGAUAAGUAAUGUGAAUUGCAGAAUUCAGUGAAUCAUCGAGUUUUUGAACGCACACUGCGCCCCUUGGUAUUCCGGGGGGCAUGCCCGUUCGAGCGUCAUUUCACCAAUCAAGCCUGGCUUGGUCUUGGGCUACGGGCAUCAACCCGGGCCCCAAAAUCUCCGGCUGGAAAGCUCUGAUCUCAGCGUCGUGGUUAUUCAAACUCGCUGGCGAGAGGGGCGGUCUGCGCCGUUAAAAUCUAUCUUAGGUUGACCUCGGAUCGGGUAGGAAUACCCGCUGAACUUAA